AUGAGUUGCUCGAACGGGAUGUUGCUGGCCCCGUCAGGGGUAACGUGCACGCCUUGUUCGCAUCCAUCCUUUAACCACUGUGCACAACCUGUAGUUCUGGGCCCGAGGGCCUGGUCCUACUUUUUUUAACAACACCGUAGUUCGAUUGAAUGUGCCGCUGGCGUAUGUAACGCUAAUAAAUA
rnacentral:misc_RNA from 1 species